ACACGGCGAUAGCUGGUUCUCCCCGAAAUAGCUUUAGGGCUAGCGUCGAAGUAAGGGUAGUGGAGGUAGAGCACUGAAUUCAUGAUGGCGCCGUCAAGGUGUACUGAAUGAAAUCAAACUCCGAAUGCCAUUAUUGAAUCUUCGGCAGUCAGACUGUGGGUGAUAAGGUCCAUGGUCAAAAGGGAAACAGCCCAGAUCAUCAGUUAAGGUCCCAAAAUUACCGCUAAGUGGAAAAGGAUGUGGGGAUGCACAGACAACUAGGAGGUUGGCUUAGAAGCAGCCACCCUUCAAAGAGUGCGUAACAGCUCACUAGUCGAGUGACCCUGCGCCGAAAAUUAACCGGGGCUAAGCGGUAUACCGAAACUAUGGCAAUGAUGUAAAUCAUUGGGUAGGGGAGCGUUCCAUGGGCGUUGAAGCUGUACCGUAAGGAGCAGUGGAGCGCAUGGAAGUGAGAAUGCCGGUGUGAGUAGCGAGAUGCAGGUGAGAAUCCUGCACACCGAUAGACCAAGGAUUCCAGGGGAAGGUUCGUCCGCCCUGGGUAAGUCGGGACCUAAGGCGAGGCUGAAAAGCGUAGUCGAUGGAAAACAGGUUGAUAUUCCUGUACCCGCGCAUCGAGUGAUGGAGUGACAAAGAAGGCUAACCGGACCGGUAAAUGGAUUCCGGACCAAGCGAGGUAGGAGGCAGUCAGGCAAAUCCGGCUGUCAAUCUGAAGGCGUGACGGGGAGUGAACAGCGCGAGCUAAGUAGCGAAGACGGCGAUGCCAGCUUUCAAGAAAAGCUUCUAGCGCUAAUCGAUGAGCGGCCCGUACCAAAACCGACACAGGUGGUCAAGGCGAGAAGCCUAAGGUGAGCGAGAGAACUGUUGCCAAGGAACUCGGCAAAAUAGCCCCGUACGUUCGCAAGAAGGGGCGCUCGAAAGAGCCGCAGUGAAGAGGCCCAAGCAACUGUUUAACUAAAACACAGCUCUCUGCAAAGUCGCAAGACGAAGUAUAGGGGGUGACGCCUGCCCGGUGCUGGAAGGUUAAGAGGAUAUGUGAGUCGCAAGACGAAGCAUUGAAUUGAAGCCCCAGUGAACGGCGGCCGUAACUAUAACGGUCCUAAGGUAGCGAAAUUCCUUGUCAGGUAAGUUCUGACCCGCACGAAAGGCGUAAUGAUUUGGGCGCUGUCUCGGCAGCAGACUCGGUGAAAUCUUAGUACCUGUGAAGAUGCAGGUUACCCGCAACUAGACGGAAAGACCCCAUGGAGCUUUACUGUAGCCUGAUAUUGAGUUUUGAUCAAGUAUGUACAGGAUAGGUGGGAGACGAAGAAGUUGGGACGUCAGUUUCAAUGGAGUCGACGUUGGGAUACCACUCUUAGUUGAUUGAAAUUCUAACCUGUAUCCAUGAGCUGGGUAAGGGACAGUGUCAGGUGGGCAGUUUGACUGGGGCGGUCGCCUCCUAAAGAGUAACGGAGGCGCCCAAAGGUACCCUCAGAUUGGUUGGAAAUCAAUCGACGAGCGCAAAUGCAGAAGGGUGCUUGACUGCAAGACAGACAAGUCGAGCAGGGACGAAAGUCGGGAUUAGUGAUCCGGCGGUGCAGAAUGGAAUGGCCGUCGCUUAACGGAUAAAAGCUACCCUGGGGAUAACAGGCUGAUCUCGCCCAAGAGUUCACAUCGACGGCGAGGUUUGGCACCUCGAUGUCGGCUCAUCGCAUCCUGGAGCUGAAUUCGGUUCCAAGGGUUGGGCUGUCCGCCCAUUAAAGCGGUACGCGAGCUGGGUUCAGAACGUCGUGAGACAGUUCGGUCCCUAUCUGUUGUGGGCGUAGGAAAUUUGAGGAGAGCUGUCCUUAGUACGAGAGGACCGGGAUGGACCCACCGCUGGUGCACCAGUUGUAUCGCCAGAUGCAUAGCUGGGUAGCUAAGUGGGGAACGGAUAAACGCUGAAGGCAUCUAAGCGUGAAACCGACUCCGAGAUGAGAUUUCCCAUUUCCAAGAGAAAGUAAGACCCCUUGA
rnacentral:rRNA from 1 species